rnacentral:tRNA from 1 species
GAAAGCAGCUCAUUGGUAGAGCAUCCACCUAGCAUGCACAAGGCCCUGGGUUCAAUUCCCAGUGCAUCCC